rnacentral:rRNA from 1 species
GUAGGUGGCAAGCGUUGUCCGGAAUUAUUGGGCGUAGAGCGCGCGCAGGUGGUUCUUUAAGUCUGAUGUGAAAGCCCCCGGCUCAACCGGGGAGGGUCAUUGGAAACUGGGGAACUUGAGUGCAGGAGAGGAAAGUGGAAUUCCACGUGUAGCGGUGAAAUGCGUAGAUAUGUGGAGGAACACCAGUGGCGAAGGCGACUUUCUGGCCUGUAACUGACACUGAGGCGCGAAAGCGUGGGGAGCAAACAGGGAUUAGAUACCCUGGUAGUCCACGCCGUAAACGAUGAGUGCUAAGUGUUGGGGGGGUUUCCGCCCCCUCAGUGCUGCAGCUAACGCAUUAAGCACUCCGCCUGGGAGUACGGUCGCAAGACUG